GUGAAUCAUCGAAUUUUUGAACGCAAAUUGCGCUUCCUAGCAUCCCGGAGGGUAUGCCUGUUUGAGGGUCAGUAUUAACAAAAAAUCGUUUUGGUUGUGAAUGGUGACGUUGGAGUAGUUUGAGCUUGUCGUAUCUUUUUUGAUUAAGGGGCUUAAAAUUGACCUUGUUUGCGCGGUUUUAGACGUACAUAGAUUUUUUUUUAUUCGUCUAUUCUUAAUGCCAAAAUCUUAUUAGAUGCGAUCACAUCGUGUGUUUUCGUUUCCAUAAAAUUUUCAUGAUUGGA
rnacentral:misc_RNA from 1 species